rnacentral:rRNA from 1 species
CAGUCGCCGCGGGAAUACGUAGGGUGCGAGCGUUAAUCGGAAUUACUGGGCGUAAAGCGUACGCAGGCGGUUGUGCAAGACAGAUGUGAAAUCCCCGAGCUUAACUUGGGAACUGCAUUUGUGACUGCACGGCUAGAGUGUGUCAGAGGGGGGUAGAAUUCCACGUGUAGCAGUGAAAUGCGUAGAUAUGUGGAGGAAUACCGAUGGCGAAGGCAGCCCCCUGGGAUAACACUGACGCUCAUGCACGAAAGCGUGGGGAGCAAACAGAAUUAGAUACCCCAGUAGUCCCUGUCUCUUAUAC